UUUCACUUAUAUUUUAAAAAUGAAAAGUGCUAUCAAAAUUUGGUAAAUUGUAACUGAUAUUCAUUUUAAAAGAGCUUUCUUUUGAUGUAUCACACAUAUACCAGAGGGUUAAGAAGGGCGAACUACCCCUAUUUUUUUGGAAUUAUUUAAAAACCACCCUAUCGAUUUUGGCGGCAUUAAGUAUACUUCCAGCACGUUCAAAAAUAUUAGUUAAGGGUUUUUUCCCAUUCGCUCUAGAUCAUCCCCAGCGAAGUUACGGGGGUUAACAUGUAACCACUUUUCGUAAGAAUGAUGUGAUAAAAUUGUCAGGUAUUUUGAAAAUACUUUAACAAAACCGUAAAUUAGUCGCACAAUAAAAUGUUUAAUGUAAAAUAAGGCAUAAUACACCAUUUAGGGGUGGUUGGGGUUAACCACCCCCUUAAAAAUUAAUUCUAUCCCGGGCAUUACUUGUUGAUUACGGCGAAAUUUGGUACUGUGUUUGUUUUAUAUAGUUUAUUAGUUUAUUUUUAUUCUACAUAAUGUUGCCAAAAAUACACCUACCAAAAAAAUUUUGGCACAAUAUUUGUUUUUUUAGUGCCGCUUGCUAAAGGUCAUUUCUCAAAAUAGUUUUUUCUAGUAUAAAAGAACGUGUGCCCAGUGGGUAGAUUUUAGUUUCAGAGCAACUGACAGAAGCAAUGGUUACAAUAAACCCAAUGAAGAAGCAAUGGUUUGUGUGAUACCAAACAUCCAAAAGUCGUAAUGAAAACUUAAAUUCCGUGGGAUUAAUAUAUCUAUCGCCUAUAAGUAUAACCCAAAAUUGACAUUAAUGUUCCAAUAACAACUAAUUGAGACCAUUAGUACGAGCGGCUUGCAAAACGAAACUAAAUGCCCUGAUGGUGGUUCCAUCUGUGGAUAAAUUUUUGCAUAGAUUGAGUACCGCCUCUUACAGGGGUGUUCUAUUUAAAAAAAAAUCGUUUAAGUCUCUAGGUAGCACAUUUGAACGAUAUGGGCAACUGACGUGUUAUUGCUAUAUAAUUAUUUAAGCUUUCUAAAUAACUAUUUAAAUUAUAUCUAUAACAUU